GCGGCGGACGGGUGAGUAUGCUAGGAAUCUGCCUAUAUGGGGGGACAACAUACCGAAAGGAACGCCAAUACCGCAUACGCCCUACGGGGGAAAGCAGGGGAUCUUCGGACCUUGCGCAAAUAGAUGAGCCUAAGCCAGAUUAGCUAGUUGGUGGGGUAAGGCCUACCAAGGCGACGAUCUGAAGCGGGUCUGAGAGGAUGAUCCGCCACACUGGGACUGAGACACGGCCCAGACUCCUACGGGAGGCAGCAGUGGGGAAUAUCGCACAAUGGGCGAAAGCCUUGAUUCAUUCAUGCCGCGGCGCGAAGAAGGCCUGCAGGCUGGUAAGCACUUUUAAGCGAGGAGGGGCCACUGAGGUAAAACUCCUCGAUAGAGGCGUACCCCCCAAAACACCGACACCCCUGGGCAGAGCCGGGAGACCACAGGGGCAGCGGAUCCGACUACGGGCGAAAGCGGCGACCCCGCUUCCAGCGAGGGAAACCCUGGCCAACUACGAAUGG
rnacentral:rRNA from 1 species